UGUAAAGGAAGUUUUGGGUCUUAGUGAGGUUAGUUUCCCUCUUGUUGGAAAGACAUUGUCUUCCAGACCUGGAAAAUGCUAGGAAGUGUUUUUAAUAAAUGAUACACAGUAAGUGGCUAGUCAGUGUGAGAGCUUUAGGGUUUUCUCAUAAAUUAUGCUUCCAUAUCUCAGUGUUGUAAUAGUUUAGAAUCUCUUUCACACCGAAAAUUCCAAUGCACACAGAAAUGUAGACACGCUUUUUUGGGGCUACCUUAAGAAUAAGGGAACAAUUGAUAAAAUGACACCUGCCAGGAAAUUGAUCACUCAGCUUAAUUUAACAUAACCAAACUAUAUAAAUAUAUAAAAUCCCCUAAUCUCCUGGAUGCGGUGUAAUGCAAAACCAUCCAUGGAAAAUCAAAUGAGAUUAAGAGACAGUCCCUUGCAAAUCCAAUUUUAAAGCAAUCUCUGCUCGAACAACCCCAGUAAGUAUCUCUCCAAAUUACCUCUUGUUGUAAUCCACACCUUGUUGGUGGAUUCCUCCUGUUAUAAAUAGUAAACAGGCUGGAGUGGGAAUGGCAGGCGUGCGAGGUCAACUUUAUCCAGAGAGUGUAUUUCUAAACCUGUUUCUGUGGUUGGUGAACUUGAAGUGCUCUGAACAGAAGAAGGGAUUCAAACCAUAAACCCUGAGUACUGCUACGGUGUUCGUGGUGUUUCUGAGAUGGAUGCCAUUGAGGAAAAAGUCAGACUAAGCACAAGUCAACGCCAGGAGAGCAAUAAGAUGGCAGAAGUCCCUGAGGGAGGGAGGUGACUCUGACUAUCAGCUGCCUCGUCUAAGGGUCAUUUCAGUGUGUGUGUGUGUGUGUGUGUGUGUGUGUCUGUGGCUGUACAUGUAAGUAUGUGUUAGGCUGUGGGUGUGCGCGUAUGUGUGUGUGUGUUGGUGUACAUUUGUAUGUGUGUGUGUGUGUGUAUGUUUGUGGUUGUACUUGUAUGUGUGUGUGUUUGUGUGUGUGUGUGUGCCUGUGGGUGCAGUGCACGUGUGUGUGUAUGUGUGUGUGCGCACGGGCGUGCAUGUGUGUGUGCGCGCGUGCGUGCAUGAUUGCCCCAUUGUGUGCAGUGAAAAGAUCAAAUGGCCGUUUAAUAUUCAGGCUUAAGUAUUAUUGCAGUGUGUAUGUUUCGUGCAUGUGUGUGUGUGAGACCGAUGUAUGUGGGUGUUACAGGAUUGAAUACAUGGACGCUUGAUGCAUUGAUUUGUUGUAAUGCGGAAUCAAUCACAACAAAUCAACUGCAUACACAUACACAUAUACACACAUAUUGGACCAGUGGGUCUGAGUCUGUGCCGGAUGAAGUCCUCCUGUCUCUGUGUCUCUGAGCCUCUUUCUCUGAGCCUAUUUCUCUUCCGAGGCCCUUCAGAGAAAUACUUCUCCAGCUGAGACAAAAAUUAGGAAUGAUUUUCUGC
ensembl:lncRNA